GCUGGCUUUGGCACUGGGUAUGGAGUUGCCCUCGCAGAGGUGCCGCGUCUCGCUGCCAGCUCACCUUCACUAAGAACUGGGCACUCGCCCGCGCGCCUGCCCCAACUCCCAAGUCGCCCUCUGGACCUAGUUCUCAGGCGCAGGUCCCCAGAGCUGUGCAGUGGGCUGGCCACCUCCUCCUCAGGACUGCUGCCUGAGAGCUGGGGCUGGAGGACCCCAGCCGCCUCUGUAGCCCGCAGCUCCCCGGGCUCUGCGGCUGCUGGGCUGCGCUAGGGCCCGCUCCUGCCCGCCCCCAGCUCCUGCCUCCCGCUCGCUGCGCUGCGCUGCGCUGGCUGCGCUGUGCGCCCGCGCGUCCCCGCCGGCUGGGGCAGCCGCGCUCACACUCACUCUCAGGGCGCCUCCAAGCUGCUCCAUGGAGACCUGGAUCCAAACCCCAAAGCAGAAGAGACUCCAAAGUCCGGGGAGGAAAGGCGAGCCCGGAGGCUGACAGGCGACCGGGCGCGGGGCGACCAGAAUUGGCUGUGUGUGCGGGAAGAGCUGGGUCACGCGAGGUCGCGGCUGGAGGGGGCUGAGGCCCGGGCCGGCGCGCUCCGGGCCGCGCUGGCUGGGCCGGGGGCAGCUCGCAGGGGCUGCAGGCUGCACCGAGGCGCCCUGGGCCCGCUGGGGGACAGAGACAAGCGGGCGGCCAAACCUGCCGGGGAAACUAAAUAAAUAAAAGGGGACUGUUAUUUAAGGCGCGGAAAUUUGAAAUAUUUGGACAGGAAGAGAAAAAGAAAAGAAACUCUAGCGAGGGAAGAAAAACACAGACAAGGCGAACUAACGGUUUUGAAACUCCGCCACCCCCACCCCGGGCUUUUCUGCGCGCACUGAGGGAGCUCGGUGCUCGGACUUCCUCACUGGGAAGCCGGGAGCUGCAGUGGGAGGCUGGAGGGCUUCAAUGGGACAGAAGGGGUGUCGUUACAUUCCCUCCGGAGAGAGCUUGGGUUGGCAGGGGACAGGGCUUUGGCCAGGGUCUCAGAAUGGUUGUCUCCUGCCGUCUCACUUGCUACCUACGAAUAUCUGGUUUUUGAAACUGCAGUGCAAAAUCAAAACAGUCCCGAGAGGCCAAGGGAGGGACUUUCCCCCUUAACCUUUUGAUGAAGGUUGCUUAGGGUAGUCAGAAAUGCUGCGAGUGUGACCCUUUCUCGCUAGAGCGAGCUCCAACAUCCACCAGCGCUUCUGCAUUACAGCUUCUGCACCCCUCACCCGCCCACUACUCCGACCCGGCAACAGCCGAAAGCACCUUUUUGGAAACAGAUUUCGAAACCAGUUCUGGGACAGGCACUCCACACGUUCGUUAUAUCAGCACAAUAAAGGAAAUCUAUAAUGUUA